AUUGAACGCUGGCGGCAUGCUUUACACAUGCAAGUCGAACGGCAGCGCGGGCUUCGGCCUGGCGGCGAGUGGCGAACGGGUGAGUAAUACAUCGGAACGUGCCCAGUAGUGGGGGAUAGCUCGGCGAAAGCCGGAUUAAUACCGCAUACGACCUGAGGGUGAAAGCGGGGGAUCUUCGGACCUCGCGCUAUUGGAGCGGCCGAUGGCAGAUUAGCUAGUUGGUGGGGUAAAGGCCUACCAAGGCGACGAUCUGUAGCUGGUCUGAGAGGACGACCAGCCACACUGGAACUGAGACACGGCCCAGACUCCUACGGGAGGCAGCAGUGGGGAAUUUUGGACAAUGGGCGAAAGCCUGAUCCAGCAAUGCCGCGUGUGUGAUGAAGGCCUUCGGGUUGUAAAGCACUUUUGGCGGGAACGAAAAGGACUGUGCCAAUACCACGGUUCGAUGACGGUACCCGAAGAAUAAGCACCGGCUAACUACGUG
rnacentral:rRNA from 1 species